GGUUUGGCACCUCGAUGUCGGCUCAUCACAUCCUGGGGGUGGAGAAGCUCCCAAGGGUUUGGCUGUUCGCCAAUGAAAGUGGUACGUGAGCUGGGUUCAGACCGUCGUGAGACAGGUCGGUCCCUAUCUGCUGUGGGCGUACGAAACUUGAGGAGAUUCUUCUUUAGUACGAGAGGAUUUGGAAGGACGUUCCUCUGGUGUUCCAGUUGUCGCGCUAGCGGCACGGCUGGGUAGCUAUGAACGGAACGGAUAAACGCUGAAAGCAUAUAAGCGUGAAGCCCGCUCCAAGAUCAGGUUUCGUAGAGCUUUUGCUCGGAAGUCCCCUGGAAGACGACCAGGUUAAUAGGCCGGACGUGUACGUGCAGUAAUGCACUCAGCCAACCGGUACUAACGGACGAAUGCUUGACCACUC
rnacentral:rRNA from 1 species